AAGGACCCAGAGGAGCUGCAGGGUGAGCUCCCAGGUCCUCUCUUCCUCCCCUGCCCGCAUGGUGCCUGCGGACAGGGGAGGAAGAGAGGACCUGGGAGCUCACCCUGCAGCUCCUCUGGG
rnacentral:miRNA from 1 species